rnacentral:rRNA from 1 species
UGCGUAGGCGGCCUGACAAGUCAGAGGUGAAAUGCACGAGCUUAACUGGUGAAUUGCCUUUGAAACUGUCAAGCUAGAAUUAUGUUGAGGUUAGCGGAAUGAGUCAUGUAGCGGUGAGAUGCAUAGAUAUGACUUAGAACACCAAUUGCGUAGGCAGCUAGCUAGGCAUAUAUUGACGCUGAGGCACGAAAGCGUGGGGAGCGAACAGGAUUAGAUACCCUGGUAGUCC